UAGCGGCGGACGGGUGAGUAACACGUGGGCAACCUGCCUUACAGAGGGGGAUAGCCUUCCGAAAGGAAGAUUAAUACCGCAUAUUAUGAGUUUUCUGCAUGGGGAAUUCAUGAAAGGAGAAAUCCGCUGUAAGAUGGGCCCGCGGCGCAUUAGCUAGUCGGUGAGGUAACGGCUCACCAAGGCGACGAUGCGUAGCCGACCUGAGAGGGUGAUCGGCCACAUUGGGACUGAGACACGGCCCAGACUCCUACGGGAGGCAGCAGUGGGGAAUAUUGCACAAUGGGGGAAACCCUGAUGCAGCAACGCCGCGUGAGUGAUGACGGCCUUCGGGUUGUAAAGCUCUGUCUUCAGGGACGAUAAUGACGGUACCUGAGGAGGAAGCCACGGCUAACUACGUGCCAGCAGCCGCGGUAAUACGUAGGUGGCGAGCGUUAUCCGGAUUUACUGGGCGUAAAGGAUGCGUAGG
rnacentral:rRNA from 1 species